UACAGAGGUCCCAAGCGUUGUUCGGAUUCACUGGGCGUAAAGGGUGCGCAGGUGGGUUUGCAAGUUUGAUGUGAAAGCCCCGGGCUUAACCCGGGAACUGCAUUUGUGACUGCAUGGCUGGAGUGCGGCAGAGGGGGAUGGAAUUCCGCGUGUAGCAGUGAAAUGCGUAGAUAUGCGGAGGAACACCGAUGGCGAAGGCAGCCUUCUGGGCCAACACUGACGCUCAUGCACGAAAGCGUGGGGAGCAAACAGGG
rnacentral:rRNA from 1 species